rnacentral:rRNA from 1 species
UGGUUAGAUUAUACCAGCACUAAUGCACCGAAUACCAUCAAAACUCCGCAGUUAAGCGUGCUUGGGCUAGAGUAGUACUAGGAUGGGUGACCUUUUGGUAAGUCCUCGAGUUGCACCAC